rnacentral:rRNA from 1 species
GCAGGUUGAUUCUGCCUGACGUGGACGCGAUUACCAUGGACUAAGCCAUGCAAGUGAGGUGACGAAAGGAACAACGGAAGGCUCAGUAGGACGAACGUAACCUAAUGGAGCCGAGAAAAAAGCUGUGGGAAACUACGGAGGAAGGGACCAGUGGGCGUUUGGCGGAACAGCUAUAGAGUGUGGUAAAGGCGCACUCUGGCAGCGACGCGUGCGGGGGGCCGGGGUCUAGGUCCGGAGAGGGAGCGUGAGAGGAGGCUACCAUGCCUAAGGGAGGCAGCAGGCGCGAAACUUGCCCAAUCGAAGGGGAGGCAGCAGUGGUAGUAAACUGGAGGGCAAGACUGGUGCCAGCAGCCGCGGUAAUACCAGCUCGAGGAGUGUCAACGGUGAUUGCUGCAGUUAAAGUGUCCGUAGUCAAGGGGGGAGUCGAUUGGGACGCUUGGAUUCCUGAGCGAGGGGUGAAAUCUGACGACCUGAGGAGGACGAGGCGAGGCGAAGGCGGGCGUCAGGGGGACGUCUGGCGAUCAAGGACGGAAGCAAGGGGAUCGAAGGGGAUUAGAGACCCCCGUAGUCUUUGCCGUGAACGAAGCCGACACCAGAGUGGAAAGAUUCUGGAAGAGAAAUUGUAGGGCCCUGGGGAGAGUAUGGCCGCAAGGCGGAAACUUGAAGAAGUUGACGGAAGGACAAACACGGAGUGGAGUGUGCGGCUCAAUGUGACGCAACGCGGGACAGCUUACCAAGACGAUGGUGCUGUGGAGGAGUACUGAGGCGCUAUGGGUGGUGCAUGGCCGACGGACACGCGGGGCGACUGCGCGGCGCGGGAGCGUGUGAGAGCGAGACCAGGGAAGCUGGGACUAGCAUUGCGAGAUGCGGGAAGGACGGCGAUGUCAGGUCCGUGAUGCCCCUUGCGUUUUGGGCGGCACGCGCACUACAGUAGGACAGGAAGAAGGAGAGGGGGCUGUUUUUUAGGGGGAUUGAGCAGAGGAAGCUGGUCAUGAACGAGGAAUUCUGAGUAACUGCGUGUCAACAACGGGCAGCGAAGGGGUACCUGUGCUUUGUACACACCGCCCGUCGUUAUCUGAGAUGGGGUUCAUUACGAGGAAGCGAGUGAGGAGCACUAGAUUGGGUACAAGUCGUAACACGGUCUCGGUAGGAGAACCUGCCGAGGGAUCAAAA